rnacentral:misc_RNA from 1 species
GAAAUGCGAUAAGUAAUGUGAAUUGCAGAAUUCAGUGAAUCAUCGAAUCUUUGAACGCACAUUGCGCCCUCUGGUAUUCCGGGGGGCACAUCUGAUCGAGCGUCAUUACAACCCUCAAGCUCUGCUUGGUAUUGGGCGUCUCCGUCCCGCAUCAUGCGCGGACGCGCCUCAAAGCUCUCGGCGGUCUGCACCGGCUUCAAGCGUAGCAAAAAAACCCUCGCUUCUGAAGCUCCGGCGUAGGUCCUGCCGCAUGACGACAACCGUUAUUUUUCCAAAGGUUGACCUCGGAUCAGAUGGGGAUACCCGCUGAACUUAAGC